rnacentral:rRNA from 1 species
AGUGAACGCUGGCGGUAGGCCUAACACAUGCAAGUCGAACGGCAGCACAGUAAGAGCUUGCUCUUACGGGUGGCGAGUGGCGGACGGGUGAGGAAUACAUCGGAAUCUACUUUUUCGUGGGGGGUAACGUAGGGAAACUUACGCUAAUACCGCAUACGACCUACGGGUGAAAGCAGGGGAUCUUCGGACCUUGCGCGAUUGAAUGAGCCGAUGUCGGAUUAGCUAGUUGGCGGGGUAAAGGCCCACCAAGGCGACGAUCCGUAGCUGGUCUGAGAGGUUGAUCAGCCACACUGGAACUGAGACACGGUCCAGACUCCUACGGGAGGCAGCAGUGGGGAAUAUUGGACAAUGGGCGCAAGCCUGAUCCAGCCAUACCGCGUGGGUGAAGAAGGCCUUCGGGUUGUAAAGCCCUUUUGUUGGGAAAGAAAAGCAGCAGGUUAAUACCCCGCUGUUCUGACGGUACCCAAAGAAUAAGCACCGGCUAACUUCGUG